GCGGGUCGGGGCCCGCCGGGGGUCGCGGAUCCGGGCCGCGGCCCUGCGGAGCCGCGCCGUACCGGGGAUCGGCUCCCCGGCCCUGCCC
rnacentral:tRNA from 1 species